rnacentral:rRNA from 1 species
CCUACGGGUGGCAGCAGUGGGGAAUAUUGGACAAUGGGGGGAACCCUGAUCCAGUCAUGCCGCGUGUGUGAAGAAGGCCCUCGGGUUGUAAAGCACUUUCAGUGAGGAAGAACGCCUGGUGGUUAAUACCCAUCAGGAAAGACAUCACUCACAGAAGAAGCACCGGCUAACUCCGUGCCAGCAGCCGCGGUAAUACGGAGGGUGUGAGCGUUAAUCGGAAUUACUGGGCGUAAAGCGCGCGUAGGUGGCUUGAUAAGCCGGUUGUGAAAGCCCCGGGCUCAACCUGGGAACGGCAUCCGGAACUGUCAAGCUAGAGUGCAGGAGAGGAAGGUAGAAUUCCCGGUGUAGCGGUGAAAUGCGUAGAGAUCGGGAGGAAUACCAGUGGCGAAGGCGGCCUUCUGGACUGACACUGACACUGAGGUGCGAAAGCGUGGGUAGCAAACAGGAUUAGAUACCCUUGUAGUC